UCAAAAAUUAAUACAAUAUCCUUUCCUAUAAGUACAAAGAUGGCCACCUAGACCGAUCUUCUUUGAAAAUG